rnacentral:rRNA from 1 species
UACGAAGGGGGGCUAGCGUUGUUCGGAUUUACUGGGCGUAAAGCGCACGUAGGCGGAUCGUUAAGUCGAGGGUGAAAUCCUGGAGCUCAACUCCAGAACUGCCUUCGAUACUGGCGAUCUUGAGUCCGGAAGAGGUGAGUGGAACUCCUAGUGUAGAGGUGGAAUUCGUAGAUAUUAGGAAGAAACACCAGUGGCGAAGGCGGCUCACUGGUCCGGUACUGACGCUGAGGUGCGAAAGCGUGGGGAGCGAACAGG